ACGUCGCAAGACCAAAGAGGGGGACCUUCGGGCCUCUUGCCAUCAGAUGUGCCCAGAUGGGAUUAGCUAGUAGGUGGGGUAACGGCUCACCUAGGCGACGAUCCCUAGCUGGUCUGAGAGGAUGACCAGCCACACUGGAACUGAGACACGGUCCAGACUCCUACGGGAGGCAGCAGUGGGGAAUAUUGCACAAUGGGCGCAAGCCUGAUGCAGCCAUGCCGCGUGUAUGAAGAAGGCCUUCGGGUUGUAAAGUACUUUCAGCGGGGAGGAAGGCGAUGAGGUUAAUAACCUCAUCGAUUGACGUUACCCGCAGAAGAAGCACCGGCUAACUCCGUGCCAGCAGCCGCGGUAAUACGGAGGGUGCAAGCGUUAAUCGGAAUUACUGGGCGUAAAGCGCACGCAGGCGGUCUGUCAAGUCGGAUGUGAAAUCCCCGGGCUCAACCUGGGAACUGCAUUCGAAACUGGCAGGCUAGAGUCUUGUAGAGGGGGGUAGAAUUCCAGGUGUAGCGGUGAAAUGCGUAGAGAUCUGGAGGAAUACCGGUGGCGAAGGCGGCCCCCUGGACAAAGACUGACGCUCAGGUGCGAAAGCGUGGGGAGCAAACAGGUAUUAGAUACCCUGGUAGUCCACGCCGUAAACGAUGUCGAGCUUGGAGGUUGUGCCCUUGAGGCGUGGCUUCCGGAGCUAACGCGUUAAGUCGACCGCCUGGGGAGUACGGCCGCAAGGUUAAAACUCAAAUGAAUUGACGGGGGCCCGCACAAGCGGUGGAGCAUGUGGUUUAAUUCGAUGCAACGCGAAGAACCUUACCUACUCUUGACAUCCAGAGAACUUUCCAGAGAUGGAUUGGUGCCUUCGGGAACUCUGAGACAGGUGCUGCAUGGCUGUCGUCAGCUCGUGUUGUGAAAUGUUGGGUUAAGUCCCGCAACGAGCGCAACCCUUAUCCUUUGUUGCCAGCGGUCCGGCCGGGAACUCAAAGGAGACUGCCAGUGAUAAACUGGAGGAAGGUGGGGAUGACGUCAAGUCAUCAUGGCCCUUACGAGUAGGGCUACACACGUGCUACAAUGGCGCAUACAAAGAGAAGCGACCUCGCGAGAGCAAGCGGACCUCAUAAAGUGCGUCGUAGUCCGGAUUGGAGUCUGCAACUCGACUCCAUGAAGUCGGAAUCGCUAGUAAUCGUAGAUCAGAAUGCUACGGUGAAUACGUUCCCGGGCCUUGUACACACCGCCCGUCACACCAUGGGAGUGGGUUGCAA
rnacentral:rRNA from 1 species